AGGAGGGGGGCAUGGAAAACAAGCUGGAUAGCGGCUCUCAAGUGGCGGACUUGCAGACCUCUGCACCAGACCGUUCACCAGCCAAUCACGUGAGAAAAUGCCAUUAGCGUCAUCGUUGGCCUCAAUGACCACGGUAGCCCUGUCUGCUCCGUACACCACAGCAUCACCUGCAAACACAGAAAAAUUCCACAUGCUUGCAUUUUCUCAUAAAGCAAAACAAGUCAAAAUGUCAUUUACAAAAUGUCCACUCACCCGUGGCAUUAUACAAGACAAUGAAGAAGCGCUCAUCAGUCUCUGCGUGUCAUUACUGGGAAGACUGAGAUCGCCAGGUGAGGCGUCACCGUAUUCCACUCUGUACGCCACCGUGCCAACAUCGUCUGCUCGCCCGGCCCGCAAAACGCUAAAAUUGGCCACGCCGCCUUCCCGAAGCCGCACAAUGACAGGUUC